UGGGGAAUAUUGCACAAUGGGGGAAACCCUGAUGCAGCGACGCCGCGUGAGUGAAGAAGUACUUCGGUAUGUAAAGCUCUAUCAGCAGGGAAGAAGAUGACGGUACCUGACUAAGAAGCCCCGGCUAACUACGUGCCAGCAGCCGCGGUAAUACGUAGGGGGCAAGCGUUAUCCGGAUUUACUGGGUGUAAAGGGAGCGUAGGUGGUGAGGCAAGUCAGAUGUGAAAACCCGGGGCUCAACCCCGGGACUGCAUUUGAAACUGUCUUGCUAGAGUGCAGGAGAGGUAAGUGGAAUUCCUAGUGUAGCGGUGAAAUGCGUAGAGAUCGGGAGGAACACCAGUGGCGAAGGCGGUCUGCUGGGCUUUAACUGACGCUGAGGCACGAAAGCAUGGGUAGCAAACAGG
rnacentral:rRNA from 1 species